UUUCCGUAGGUGAACCUGCGGAAGGAUCAUUAUUAAAUAACCGAUAUGCGAGUUCUUACGCUGACCCGAACGUUCGGUGACACCCGAGUGCCCUCCCACACAUCAAUCGCACCACUAUAUGCACCACCGCGACGGUCCCCCUUAAAACUAUUAGGAGGGGACCUUACGUAUACACCUUAACUUUAUAGACCUUGUGGAAUGUAUUUCUUGUUUUUGCGAACACGCAAUCAAGACAACUCUCAACAACGGAACUCUUGGAUCUGGCACUCAUGAACAACC
rnacentral:misc_RNA from 1 species